GUCUUGAAUAUCUAAUAAAAAUCUCAUAUGUGGAUGACACUGGAGUUUUUAAGGUUUGCUUGGAAUAUUAGAAUUCCUUGGUUUUGGAACUGUUUGAGUUGCAUCAUAAUUUGGAUAAUCCUGCAGCAGCUGCAAAUAUGAUGGGGCUGCAGGUCCUAUAUUUUCGUUUUCACCAUUGGCCAUCCAUACAGGGAAUCUGUUAGCUGAUCCAAGAUGCACACUUGUAGUGCAGGUCUGAUGGAUAAGUUUCUUCUAGUAUAUCAGCAUGGUUGAAGUUUCCAGGUCUGAUGGAUAAAUUUCUAGUAUAUCAGAGGACAAAGGACAGAAGACAAUCUACUAGUGAUGAAUCUUAUGUUCUUUGUUUUUGGGAAUCAAUUGACAUUUAGGUUGAACUUAAAUAUCUAGCAUUUUGUUUUUGAGACAUCUUGUGAAUUUGUUGGAAGAAUGUUAGAUAUAUGGAUUGCUUUCGAAUACAAUGAAUUAUGUGAUGCUAUAAACUUUUCGAA